UGUUUUUCUUUUUUUAAAUGUGUGUGUGUGUGAGUCGCUCAAUCAUGUCCGACUCUGCAACCCCAUGGACUGGAGCCCACCAGGCUGUUGUCCAUGGGAUUCUCCAGGCAAGGAUACUGGAGUGGGUUGCCAUUUCCUUCUCCAAAAUUUAAUACAAGGUAUAAGUAUUAACAUUCCUUAAAAGAAGUAGAAAUAACAUUCCGGGAAGUCUAGAGGAAUACAUUAUUCAGUCUAGGGGAUAAAUGGGAUGGGUGGUAAUCGGGAAUUUUAGAGGCAGUUUUGAGAGAUAGGUUGCUGUAGUCAUUGGUGGAGGAAAAGGGAGGAAGAAGAGCAUUUUAAGUAGAGAGCUGUUAUUUUCGAAUAGUCAAGGAGCUAGGAAAAUGUGGCUCUGUAUAAGGAAGUUUGGUUGGAGAUCAUGGUGUGUGAAGGUAACUUGAUUUUUCUCUGUAGCAUUAUCCUUCCUUCCAGCCUUCAACUCAGUAAAUGACACCUCUGUGCACUUGUCCAUUGGAGUACUCAAACCAACUUUGGAAGUUACCCUUCAUUCCUCAGAGGCUGUGACCAACAUCCAACAAACUCCACACCAAAUUUGUUGAUUGCUCUUCACUGCUGGCACCAUGCCCCGAGCCAGGGUUUCUUACCUGGACAACUGCUAGAGUUCCUAACGUGUCACUUUCCACUCCUGCUCCCUUGUGCAUGCUGCAUCCCGCCCAUUCCCCCAUCUCACUUUCAUUCUUACAUCAUAUAUCCAAGAUCUUUUUGCCUGUGUUGAAUUCAGGUUUCUUUUCCGUUAAACACAGCACUGGUUCAUAGUUUGGCUAGCUCUUUUUCAUUCUCAUCUCAACUCAAAUUUAACUUCCUUGGAGGAAGUCUUAAUUUAUUAUUGCCUCCCUAGCACCUAGAAACAGCUUAUACAUACUCAGAUGCUUGUUGAACAGAUAAAGUGAAUUGGAAUAUUUAUUGGAAAUUAAAUGAGAAACCAGGUUAAGGAUAUGGAUGCAGAAAGAUUAUGCUUGAUUCUCCAUCUUGGUCAUGUCUAGCGUUUCCUUCCUUGCAGUAGGGCUUUAUACCAUAAAGUGGUUUUGUUGUUUGAACUCAUAACUUUUUAGAAAAACUUUUUUUUUUUUUCAUUUGCACUGAAUGCAGCAAGUGCCUUCAGUGGGAUGUCAAUUGCUGCCGUCAGAAUGACAGAACCAAAACCUGGUUCUAAAUUAAUAAUUAGAUUUCUUUUCCUGCUCCUCCUAGCUUUUUUAAAAGGUAAAACUAUACUCGUAGUGAUUCUGCAGUCAAGUAGUUUAGAGGUACAUGAUGCAAAGCUGCUGCUAAGUCACUUCAGUCGUGUCCGACUCUGUGCGACCCCGUAGACGGUGGCCCACCAGGCUCCCCUGUCCCUGGGAUUCUCCAGGCAAGAACACUGGAGUGGGUUGCCAUUUCCUUCUCCAAUGCAUGAAAGUGAAAAGUCAAAGUGAAGUCACUCAGUCGUGUCCGACUCUUCGCGACUCCAUGGACUGUAGCCUACCAGGCUCCUCUGUCCAUAGGAUUUUCCAGGCAAGAGUACUGGAGUGGGGUGCCAUUGCCUUCUCCAGUGCAAAGCUAGGGAUCACAAAAAAUGCCUCCACCACCAAGCUGAGCUCCCUAGAGGGAGAGCUACUAGGGACAUUCAAGCUGUUUCAUGUUUCUUCUGGUCGUUGCCUCCAUGGCUCCCAAUAGUAGUUUAGACCACUGUUUCUUGAUUUCUUAAUUUUAUACAUAAACUAAUAGUUUUCCAGACUGAUAAAGGAGGAUUAAGUUUACAUUCCCUCCUCCUCCCUCCUAAGAUCAUAUCACUACUUCUGAUUCCUUUAUAGGCUUCUUUACAAUGUCUAAUCAUAUAUUUUCACCAUUAUUUCUUUACCUGUUGGCUGUCAACCAUUUCUUGUCUCUAGUGUGUAAGAGGACAAUUUUAACAUCACUAUCCUUCCUUUGACUCUCUUUGCUUCUUGGCUUUUGUCAUAUGUUCUUACAAUUACCUUAUUAAGGUUGGUAACUUGCCUUCUAUUUUACAAUCAUUAUUAAUAGUCCUCUUAGGUUUAUAGGUUGAUAACAGUUCACUGCAGAUCACAGG
ensembl:lncRNA